GACGUAGGUGGCGAACGUUAUCCGGAAUUAUUGGGCGUAAAGGGUGCGUAGGUGGCCUGACAAGUUAUCAGUGGCAAAUCGAGGCUCAACCUCGUGGAAACUGGUAAUACUGUCUGGCUUGAGUACAGGAGAGGUUAACGGAACUCUAUGUGGAGCGGUAAAAUGCACAGAUAUAUAGAAGAACAUCAAAAAAGGCGAAGGCAGUUAACUAUUCUGUUACUGACGCUGAGGCACGAAAGCGUGGGGAGCAAAACGG
rnacentral:rRNA from 1 species